UGAUCGAAGAAUUUGGACGUCGUGGGAAUCGGAGCAGAGAUGACUCAUCACAUUCAUCCUUUUCUCAAAACUACCAGAUACAGUUUCAUUCUCAGAGAAAAAAAAAACUACCCGAUACAGUUUAUAAAAGCAAAGAGGCAUAGCCCAGAAUGAGAAAAGAGGAAAAGCAUACAAAUAUCGAAUUCGGGUAUAUGAGUAACUAUGGUUCUAGGUUUUAGAUCAAGGAAAAGUUGUGGAAGGAGAAAAGAGAAAUCAAUGAAGGCCCUCAAUCUGAUUGACUUCAGGGAAUAAAGGAAGGCAGAAAGGAAUAAGCAAAAAGGCCAAAGAAGAAUGAAAUUCCCUUUGAUAGUGAGAUCAUUUGGGUUAUUGAAGAAAGAAAAAAAGGAAGCAAAAGAAACGGGGGAGGAGAAAACCAAAGAGAUCAGCUGCGAAGAAAUGGUUGAAGAAGCAUGGAAGGGCCUCAGAUGGAAAAAAGCCUAAAAGAAUAUAAAGAAGCAAAGUAUUGUGUGCAGAGUGGAUUCUCAAUCAAACCCAAAAGGCAGAGUAAAAUAGGUGUAACUCGGGCGACAGAGUGGCAGAUUCAGUGGAGUGGGUGGUUACCAGAAGUUGCUCAUGACCUCUUCGUGCAAAUUAUGCUUCCAAAAAAUUAAUCCAUGAGGCAGGGGCUCUCGACACAGUUCCUGUAAAUGUAUGGGAGAAUUCUAGACAUUGUGAAAGUUGGUGUCCUCUAAUAUUAGUUGCAGUUAACGUGAUCCAAUAAUUGGAGCAAAGGUGUUGCAGUAAAGGAAUUAUCUAACUUCAUGGUUGGGCAACGACUGAUGACAAAUGGAUGGCUGAAAUAGAGUUGAUCGGAGCAUGUGGACUUUACUUUAUUGAACAAAUAUGUAUACAUGCACUUUGUGGAAGUUUCUUUUUAAAAAGUACGUUUCUAUUGUAAAGAUUUGUAUAUAUCGGUCCAUGUUUUA